rnacentral:lncRNA from 1 species
AUGCAGAAGGAAAUGGCAACAAUUGAACUGGUAGCCCACGACAACCAUGAGCGGGCCAGGCGCCUGAUGAAGGAGCUCAACCAGAUGCAGCAGGAGUACCUGGAGCUCAAGAAACAGAUGGCAAACCAAAAAGAUCUGGAAAGAAGACAAAUGGAAAUCAGUGAUGCAAUGAGGACACUUAAGUGUGAGGUUAAAGAUGAAAUCAGAACCAGCCUGAAGAAUCUCAACCAGUUUCUUCCAGAACCACCAGUAGAUCUAGCAGUUGUUUUGGAAAGAAAUGAAAACCUGGAAGAAUUGGAAAGCUUGAAAGAGAACUUUCCAUUCACAGUGAAUGACAGACCUUUUGAAGAAAAACUUAACUUUUCCCAAGUUCGUAUGAUGGAUGAGCACUGGCGUGGAGAAGCACUGCGAGAGAAACUGCGGCACCGUGAAGAUCAACUCAAGGCCCAACUUCGACAUUGUAUGUCCAAGCAAGCAGAAAUGUUAAUCAAAGGAAAGCGGCAGACAGAAGGCACUUUACACAAUUUGAGGAGACAAGUGGAUACUUUAGGGGAAUUGGUCACCAGCACCUCUCUAGAUUCAACGUCAUCAGCUAGUCUGUCUCAGCUGGAGCCUUCCCUUGGAGAGGACUCUCAACUUGGACCAAGUCAGAGCUCCUUCCACGUUCUGCAGGGUGCAUCAGAACCACCAAUCAGUUACUGACACUCAUGCCAUCAACAGCUUCCUGCUCACAGG